AGGUAGGGGUUCUAAGUGUACAUCACUGAUUGGUACGGUAUAUUAGAAGCAUAGUUGAAGUAUAACAUAAACUAGAUAAAAAUCGUUUUUAAUAGUAUCUAUGAUAUGAAGGACAAUUUGUUCAAUUAGUACCUAGAGCCUACAUAUGGUUUAAUCCGGCAUUGUCACUGGAUUAUGAUCGAAAAAUAAAACGCACUUUGUAAAUCGAUGCAAUCACAACAUGAUCGUUACCGACAGACAAUAUUAUUGUUAUAAUAGAUUAC